rnacentral:lncRNA from 1 species
GAAAUUUUCCUUUGAGACGUUAGUCAAUAAUGCAUUCAUAAUACUCAAUUUUAAAUCUGGUAGAUAAAGGUGGUUAUGAUUUCUUUGUAUCAAAACUAAACGGUCCUUUUGCAUCAUUCUUUAAAAAAGAAAUAAAAAAAAUAAAAAAAACAAAAAAAUAAAAAAAAAACAAAAAAAUAAAAACAAAAAAAAAAAAAAAUUGACCUCUAACUCCUCGCUGAAAUUUCCAUUCCUAUUGACCCAUUUCCAUUCCUAU